rnacentral:tRNA from 1 species
AUCCUGCUAGUAUAUUAAGUACAACCGCCUUCCAAGCGGGAAGAUUAGAAACCUAAGCAUGAUU